rnacentral:ncRNA from 1 species
GGCUUUAGUCCUGAGCCUAACUGUUGUCUAGGGCCGACGUUACACAUGCUAGCAUCCGCACCCCCGUGUUCAUGCCCAACCUCUGCCCAAACCAGAUCAGGAGCUGGUAUCAGGCACACCCCCUAGUAGCCCAAAACACCAAGCCAUGUGCCACACCCCCACGGAAUCCAGCAGUGAUAAACAUUAAGCAAUGAGCCAACGCUCGACUUAGACUAAGGUCCGACCAGAGCCGGUUAACUGCGUGCCAGCCGCCGCGGUUAUACGUAGGGCUCAAGAUAACUAACAACGGCGUAAAGCGUGACUAGAGGUAUAACAACCGGGGUCACAAGUGCAUAAAAGCUGUAAAACGCUUAUUACUGCAAACCCCCCACAGGCCCCCCCAACCACAAUUACUCGAUCGCACGAAAGCUAGGGUACAAACUGGGAUUAGAUACCCCACUAUGCCUAGCCCUUAACUAAGGCAGUCCAACUACACCACUGCUCGCCAGAGAAUUACAAGCAAAAAGCUUAAAACUCAAAGGACUUGACGGUGUCCCACAGCAACCUAGAGGAGCCUGUCCUAUAAUCGAUGACCCACGUUUCACCCAACCCCCCCUUGCAACCCCAGCCUAUAUACCGCCGUCGCCAGCCAGCCCUGUGAAGGCCGCCACAGCCAGCACAACAACCCAACCGCCAAAACGUCAGGUCAAGGUGUAGCUGAUGGGGGGGGUAGAGAUGGGCUACAUUUCCUACACUAGGAAACACACUGCAGACACCCUGAAAACUGGUGUUCAAAGGUGGAUUUAGCAGUAAGAUCGGAUUAGAUUACCCGAACUGAAGCAUGCCCUGGGCCACGU